AGAACAAUAUGAAUAAUAUAUAAUUCGAACGCAUUUUAAGAUUAAGCAAAAGAACUUGUGAUCAGAGUGAUGGAUCCAGUUUGAUCGGGAGGAAAAAAUUGUAAUAUCGCUGUUUUGGAAGUUUUAGGGUUGAUUUGAUUAACUAUGGAAUAAGUGUAAUGGAGUGCUAUGUUGUGUGACGGAGUGCUAGAUUGAUCAUGAAAUAUGUGUGAUGGAGUGAUAUGUUGUGUGAUUAAGAUUAUGAGAUGAAAGAUAUAUCCUCUCACAACUUUAGUGAGAUGGUUAAUGCUAUGAGGAUAAAUCGAUCUAUGAUUCCGUUAAUAUUUAGAAUUUAAUUUGGAUGCGACCUAUGGGUUGUUUUUAAUCUUUGAAGUUGGGAGGAGUGAAUUGCACAUUUGAAUUAGAAAUUAGAGCAGUUGAAUCAUGUUUUAAUAGUUUUUAAUCUCAUCUGGUUGUUAAAUUUUGGAUGGAAGGAAGAUAUGAAAUAGUGUCACUCACGAUUCUCCGGUAUUUUUCUCGUUACAGGUUGUUGUGUGAUGAUGUUCCCUUUGACACUGAAGGGUUUCAUUUUCCUGUUCACAAUUUCAGCUGAGAAGUUUCUAUUAUUUUCUUCAUGCGCUGUAAGUCGUCUCCCUCUUUACUAAUUUUUUAUUCAAGUUCCGAUUUACGCUUCUUUCCAGAAAGGGUGGGUGGAUAUGCUCAACGCUACUUUCUCUCUGUAACUUCAUGACUAUUUCAGCUGAGUUUUCUGAUGGCUCAGACACAACCUAAGGAGAAUGAAAUAAGUUUUUAAAAUUUCUUGCAAGAAUUCUAUCAAACAAUAAAUAUACAGAAUAAUAAUUAUUGAGUCUGAAAAAUAAGUGAUAAUAAUAGCCUGAUGAACUAUAUACGACUGGACCCGAGUCAGCCGGCGUUCACACCCUUAAGAUUACACUUUCUGUGAUUUUAUUCUUUUCUCAGUCUCUAAUAUUUAGGGUGAUCAUGAAUGUCUGUAGAUUCAUGGAUCCAUUAAUAGUUCUUGUUUGCGACGUUAUGUCUUUAUAUGAUAGUUUUGAACAUUGUCCAACAUGCCUGUUGUUCUUGCUCUGAUUUUUUUCUUCAAUUAAUAUCAUGACUGUCGGUCCAAACAAUGGUUGUCAGAUCUCUUUGAACAUCAACGACUAAUCCAUAUACAAUCAUGUUGUUAGUCUUUAACAAAAUUUUGACAUUCCCAAUGAUGUUCUGCUUUUGUUGGACACCGAGAAAUUUAGGUAACAAUUUAAAGGGAAGUGAAUGUUAUUGCAUAUCGCUUGCAUAAAAUCCAUGCUCAUGUGGGGCAAUUCAUCCAAUGCAUAUUUAGUCAAUGAAUCCUCCAAAAUAUUGGAGAGAAAUUUUGCAUCCAAGGUGUUUUCAUUGCAAUUUGCCACUAUGCGAACUUAUUUUAAUCUUCAAAGUUCAGCUUACAAUCUCUCAUAAUAUAAUUUCUCUAUAUUUCCCUUAAGUCUACAUCCAUUGUGCUUUCAAUCCUACCAACUUUUAUAAUUCUCUCUCAUUUUCUAAAUCACCCUCAUAUAUAUUCAAUAACAUGGAUGAAACUUUUUGACAUUAAUCGGUUGGCAUUCAACUGCCCAACUUCGAUGACAAUGAUAAUGAGAUGAUUCCUGCCUCAAAAAAUUAGUUAAGUUUUGUAGUUUUUCUUGUUCUAUUUUAUUGUUUUUUUUAUUUAUUAUAUCACUUUUUCAUCCACAUUACUUUUUGACGAGGUAAUGGAGGAAAAGAGAAAUAAAAAAUAAAGAAUAGUAAAAUGUAAUUGUUGUUGUAGUAAACGCCUCUAACAAAGUAUAGAGUGAAUGCUUUUUCACUAUGUUUUCAUCUAUAUUUAGUUUAAUCCAAUCAAUAAACUUUAUUUUUAUCUUAUAGAAGCAAGUCAUUCUUUAUAAAAUUUAUGCAUGCCUCUUGAAAAAUUCUUUUUGAGGUUUACUUGCAAUAUCCGGGGGAUGAGUUGGGUGCAUUCUCCCAAGGCUUUGAAGAUUAUGAGAAUUUUAGAAAAUGGUUAUACAAAGAACGAAAGGAACAAAUUUUAUUUAUGCACACAAAAAUUAUGCCCACACAAAUCUCGAGGAGAUCCAAUGAUCUUGGAGACCAAAGGAAUAUCAAUGUGUGGAUUUAUUGGCAGAAGACUUGGGGGACCCAUACGCCCAACCAGAUGAACCAAAUUCAAAGUUAGCUGAUAUAAAGAUGAAUAUGUGACACGAGUUGAGUGGCUCACUCAGUUAUAAAGAUGAGUAUUGGGCCCAUACAUCGGACCAUAUGAACCAAACUCAAAGUCAGCUGUUAUAAAGACGAGUAUGUGACUAGAUUCGAGCGGCUCACCCAGUUACAAGAUAAAUGAUCUCCUAAAUCUAACAUUUUGAUGCAAUCAAUUCCGAAGAAGGGACCAAUCUCUCAUAUCUUAUGGCUACAUUGGCAACGUCCACCAGCUUUCUCCCAAGAUCCCUUCGUGUAAGGGCAAGCUACUUGUUGGAUUACUAUGAUUCACCCUGUGCCUGACAAUAUAUUUUCUUUUACCAACGGGAGUUCUUCGUUGAAGAAUCAAGAGCCGACAACCAUUAUGUCAAUUGAUGAGUCGAUCAGCUCUAUCAACUCCUAGCCAGUAGAAGACAGGUCAAAU